AGAAAUAAAUAAAUAUUUUUUGACUUUAUUAGAAUAUAUCCCACAAAUAUAUUGCAUAUGACUUUAAUAGAGUUUUUUUAAAAAAAUGAACAAAAUCUUAUUUCUAUGACUAUCAUUUUUAAAGGUCUAAGAAGCAGAUGACAUAAUUUUAGCAAUCAGAAAUUAUUAAAAGAGGAGCAAAUCUAAAAAAGUUUGAAGUUUCAAAUUUUCCAUUUGGAAGUGACAGUUGUUUUGUGGUUUUUCAAUCUUGUCAAUUUAUUUAUUAUUUUUUAUUAUUGUCAAUUUAUUUAUAUAUUAUUUUACUUAAUAUUUUAAAUAUAACAUACCUACUAAUCACUUAGCCUACUUAAACAUCAAAACAAAACUGCUAGAGAUAAAAAGACUAGUAAUUAUUAGAAAAGUUUACUUAUGUUCCAUACAAUCCUUAAUAAAACGUUUUAUAAGUGGGUUUUUUACAUUUUAUAAACAAUAUAUAUAUAAACAAAUAACAUAUUUUUUUAUAUAAAUUGUUUAUAUAGGGAUGGUUAGGCGCCAAACCUGCCUAAUUCAACAAAGUUUAAAUGGCUUUUGUUAAGAACUUUAAAAUUUUGCGUCAAAUUACCUCAUCUCAACAUAUUCGUUGAAUCAUCCAUACUGCAGCCGUUUUUCAAAAAGCCUUAAGAUGAACAAUUGCUACUUCUAUUAAUUCCGCCUUCACGAUAUACUGACCGAAUCUACUAUCUAUGGCAACAUCCAGAUUAUUACAGACACAUGCUCUGCUAUAGAUUUCAACGCGUCAAAACUAUGGCAAAUUUUCAUAAACAGCAUUCAUUACAUCGAUUUCUUUAUCAAUUAUUAGCCUGCUCAUGUGUUCCACAAAUAUAAACUGAAUUUUAUUUCGUUUAUUUAUGAUUAACAAACUGCAGAUCUAAUGAUUAAUUAAUAAUUUCUGUAGAUUUAUUACUUUAUGACUGUUUGUUCUAUAACGCUUGAUAUUUUGUUAACGUUGUCAACUAAUCUUUUUGAAGGCUUCAUGAUCAGCAGUUGCAAUAUCAUGAAUAGCUAAAAUCAUACUUAAGCUGCAUUUUAUCAUAAAUCUUUUUGAAUAGUUUAACGGCAAGUGGUGUCGGUUUUGUCGCGUCGUAAUAUUUUACAUAUUAUACAAUUCGUGAUAUUGUGGGUAUUCUACAGUUUAUUCAAACUAGUUAACUUUUGUACUUUUUUCUGAAAGUAAGUUGCUACAGAGUAAAAAAGUGAAAAAGUGAAAAGUAAAGAAAA